rnacentral:rRNA from 1 species
UACGAAGGGGGCUAGCGUUGCUCGGAAUCACUGGGCGUAAAGCGCACGUAGGCGGCUUUCUAAGUCGGGGGUGAAAUCCUGGAGCUCAACUCCAGAACUGCCCUUCGAUACUGGAGAGCUUGAGUCCGGGAGAGGUGAGUGGAACUGCGAGUGUAGAGGUGAAAUUCGUAGAGAUUCGCAAGAACACCAGUGGCGAAGGCGGCUCACUGGCCCGGUACUGACGCUGAGGUGCGAAAGCGUGGGGAGCAAACAGG